rnacentral:rRNA from 1 species
UAAUACGGAGGGUGCAAGCGUUAUCCGGAAUCACUGGGUUUAAAGGGUGCGUAGGCGGUUUGAUAAGUCAGUGGUGAAAGCUCAUCGCUCAACGAUGAAAUUGCCAUUGAUACUGUCAGACUUGAAUUAGGAUAAGGUAAGCGGAAUGUGGCAUGUAGCGGUGAAAUGCAUAGAUAUGCCAUAGAACACCAAUUGCGAAGGCAGCUUACUGGGCCUUGAUUGACGCUGAGGCACGAAAGCGUGGGGAUCAAACAGGAUUAGAUACCCUGGUAGUCCACGCCCUAAACGAUGCUUACUCGUUGUAUGGAAUUCGUUUCAUGUGACCAAGCGAAAGCGAUAAGUAAGCCACCUGGGGAGUACGCCGGCAACGGUG